rnacentral:rRNA from 1 species
UACAGAGGGGGCAAGCGUUAUUCGGAAUUAUUGGGCGUAAAGGGCGCGUAGGCGGCCUGGCAAGUGGAUGGUGAAAUCCCUCGGCUUAACCGAGGAACUGCCAUCCAGACUGCUUGGCUUGAGACCGGGAGAGGUGAGUGGAAUUCCCAGUGUAGCGGUGAAAUGCGUAGAUAUUGGGAGGAACACCAGUGGCGAAGGCGGCUCACUGGACCGGUACUGACGCUGAUGCGCGAAAGCGUGGGGGAGCAAACGGG